rnacentral:rRNA from 1 species
GGACGACGCUGGCGGCGUGCCUAAUACAUGCAAGUCGAGCGCGGGAAGCAUACAGAAGCCUUCGGGUGGACGUAUGUGGAACGAGCGGCGGACGGGUGAGUAACACGUGGGCAACCUGCCUACAAGAUCGGGAUAACACCGGGAAACCGGUGCUAAUACCGGAUGAUACUUCGUAUCACAUGAUGCGAAGAUGAAAGACGGUUUCGGCUGUCACUUGUAGAUGGGCCCGCGGCGCAUUAGCUAGUUGGUGAGAUAAUAGCUCACCAAGGCAACGAUGCGUAGCCGACCUGAGAGGGUGAUCGGCCACACUGGGACUGAGACACGGCCCAGACUCCUACGGGAGGCAGCAGUAGGGAAUCUUCCGCAAUGGACGAAAGUCUGACGGAGCAACGCCGCGUGAGUGAUGAAGGUUUUCGGAUCGUAAAACUCUGUUGUAAGGGAAGAACAAGUACGAAUUAACUACUCGUACCUUGACGGUACCUUACCAGAAAGCCACGGCUAACUACGUG